rnacentral:rRNA from 1 species
ACAGCUUAGUGGCGGACGGGUGAGUAACGCGUGGGCAACCUGCCAUAUACAGGGGGAUAACACUUAGAAAUAGGUGCUAAUACCGCAUAAGCGCACAGCUUCGCAUGGAGCAGUGUGAAAAACUCCGGUGGUAUAUGAUGGACCCGCGUCUGAUUAGGUAGUUGGUAAGGUAACGGCUUACCAAGCCGACGAUCAGUAGCCGGCCUGAGAGGGUGGACGGCCACAUUGGGACUGAGACACGGCCCAG